CAGAACCUAUGUCACAUGGAACAAUGGGUCAGUACAUAAAAGAUGACUGUUUAACUAGCAGGCAGAUGCGGCUGAAGUGAAACACUCAAACUCCCACACCGGAACCUGACACAGUCAACACAAAAUGCGUGCCCACCUCCCCCUCCAGGGUACUGCGUGACAGCGGCUUCGCAAGUGAGCCAGCACCUCACACAUUCAGAGACUCAAGAACAGAGAGUCAGAAGAACUAAUGCCACGAGCUGGUUUUACAGAUAUUUCAAAAAUAUGACAUUUAUUGAAUGCUCUGCCUAUUAUAUGCAAGGCACUGUGGGAGGUGCUGGAGUUUCAGAGUCCAGCACAGUCCCCGUGCUGAUAAGCUGACCGCCUAGAAGAGGGACAAAACCAGGACCCAGAUGACUGAAACACUAGGUGCAGCGAGGGCAGAAAUAUAGGGCAGGCCCAACGUGCCCCGGGGGGUUCAAAGAAGGACAGAUUCCAUCGCUGGAGGGGAUCCGAAAGGCUUCCUUCAAACAGAAACAGGAACUUGAGCUGGGCAAGACUUCAGAGGCUGAAGGAGAAGCAUGAAGAGGGCGCUCGGGGAGAAGGCACAGAUAGCGUGACUGAGGGGGCGGGCUCCAACACCCAGGGGCCUGGUCCAGCUGGCAGGCAUGUGUGGGAGUCCCAGGAGGCAGCAGCAAGCAGCAGAGCAAGGGGACAUGGACAGGUCAAGGAGGAUGAGGCCCAAAGAGGGAUCCCAGAAUUAAUUUGGCUUCAAGAAAGCAGUCUCGGCCAAUGAUGACGAGGGAACCAGAGAGAAGAGGAAACCUUGCAGAUGCCCUGUGGGGGUCAGGAGGCGGCUUUUCCUCAAAUGCACAAGCAGCAGUGGCACAGCAGUGACUGGCUGCCCCAGCGUCAUCAGAAUUGGAGAAACAGUUGAACUUCGUCUGAUGGGGGCAGCUUUUGAAGUCCCUAACCACAAGGAGGAAGCACUUCUUCAGGCCUGCAGGAAACAGAUUGCGUCGCUGUGUCUGUCCGGCUGGGAGAGGCACAGCCCUCUGGGGUUCCGUCCAGAGGGAACAAACCCGUCUGCUCGUGCCGUCUCUCCGUGAAGCCCGCUUCAUUUUCCACAUCCACCAGACUUGGUGACGGCCCCAUUUUUAGAGCCUUCAAUUACAGAAUGGAAAACACCAGCUCAGAGAAACAAUUAAGGUCAGGGAGGAGAGUGGGUGAAGAUACAAUACUAACGCAGUAAACACUGCAACUGUGCAACGACAUUCCGGUCAGCACACAUCAGUGAGGACUGAAGCAGGCCUUACCUGCACACUUCCAGCUGACCCGAGCUGUUCCUUACCACAGGGCGACAACACAGAAAAAGUGCCAGACUGAGUGCUAUGACUUAGGUGAUAAAACACCUGCAAAACCCUGAUGACUCUCUUACUGUGCCACCCGUAAAUUCAAGUAAAACCCUCAGCCUUGUCUGCCAUUUCUCGAUGAGGAAGAGCUGGGCACUGUGCAGAAGAGAGACCACGGGCACACCGGGCAUGGUCCCUCAGCCCAGAGUGGCCCCUGGCAGGCAAGAGCACCAGGCCGAACUAACGGGAUCCAGCAGCCCCACAGAGGACACAACGGCCUGCGGAGGCUGUGGGGUUUCGGAGCAGGAGGGGCUCCUCCCCUGGGGCUGAGCAGGCAGAAAGGGUUUUUCAGGGAGGCAGGGCCUGAGGUGGGGUCUCCAAGUGAUGGGUCCACCCCCUGCACAAGGGGAGAAAAGUGAUUUCUGAGGCAGGAAAUUAGACCUCAAAAUAUUGGGGAAGAUAACAAGCAGAAGGGGUAGAGACAAAAUAACCAUCACAGCAAAUCACUGCAACCCAAGUCAAGUCCGUUUUUAGUCCUUUUGAGAGUCGGCGUGUAAAAACGAAAA